GCGGGUUUCUUCAGCCAAACAAUUUUGCCUGCUAGGUUGUUCUUUUGUGAUUACUGUGCCACUUGGAAGGCCUGAUAAAUUCAUCCUUAAGGCCUCUAUGAAUGCUUUGAUCUCAAACUCUGCAUCUCCCAUUUUGUCAUCUUUGCUAAAUGUGUCAUGAUCAUACACAGUCAGUUUGACUGGAAGAUUAGGANNUUAAAUCUUCAUUCCACUCUGGAUUAACAUCCUUUUUUAUUACUCGAGUCUUCAGUUUCUG
rnacentral:misc_RNA from 1 species